AGUGAACGCUGGCGGUAGGCCUAACACAUGCAAGUCGAACGGCAGCACAGUAAGAGCUUGCUCUUACGGGUGGCGAGUGGUGGACGGGUGAGGAAUACAUCGGAAUCUACUUUUUCGUGGGGGAUAACGUAGGUAAACUUACGCUAAUACCGCAUACGACCUACGGGUGAAAGCAGGGGAUCUUCUGACCUUGCGCGAUUGAAUGAGCCGAUGUCGGAUUAGCUAGUUGGCGGGGUAAAGGCCCACCAAGGCGACGAUCCGUAGCUGGUCUGAGAGGAUGAUCAGCCACACUGGAACUGAGACACGGUCCAGACUCCUACGGGAGGCAGCAGUGGGGAAUAUUGGACAAUGGGCGCAAACAUGAUCCAGCAAUACCGCGUGGGUGAAGAAGGCGUUCGGGUUGUAAAGACCUUUUGUUGGGAAAGAAAAGCAGCAGGUUAAUACCCCGCUGGUCUGACGGUACCCAAAGAAUAAGCACCGGCUAACUUCGUG
rnacentral:rRNA from 1 species